UACGUAGGGUGCAAGCGUUAAUCGGAAUUACUGGGCGUAAAGCGUGCGCAGGCGGUUCGUUGUGUCGGCGGUGAAAGCCCCGGGCUCAACCUGGGAAUGGCCGUUGAAACUGGCGAACUGGAGUGUGGCAGAGGGGGGUGGAAUUCCGCGUGUAGCAGUGAAAUGCGUAGAGAUGCGGAGGAACACCGAUGGCGAAGGCAGCCCCCUGGGCUAACACUGACGCUCAGGCACGAAAGCGUGGGGAGCAAACAGG
rnacentral:rRNA from 1 species